GUUUGCGGAGGGUGAAAUGAGGGCACUGGUGAAAUUGAUCCGGAAUAAUAAAAACGUGCAUAAGGACAUGUUUCAACAGCCAAGGGACUGUGAUAAAAUCAGUCAGAACCAUGUUCUAAUGAAAGGUCUACAUCAAAAAUGUUAACCUACCUCCCCAGAUGCCAUCAUCACCCCACAUCCCCUGAUGUAAAGUUUCUGCAUUUAGGAGUGCCACAGGAAGAGUGAGGAAUGCUUGUUAAAUGGGAUGGAAGAGGGGAGGCUCAAUCAACUAUGAGGCUGGAGAAGAUGCUAAAUUAGAGAGGUGAAUUCAUGGAAUGAUCCGAAAGUGAGUGCAAGAACUUUGAAAUAAUAACACUGAUACUAAGAGAGCUAGUGAAGCUUAAAGAAAACAAAGACGAUGCGAUUGUGGACACACUGUUGAGAAUAAAGACUGCAGUGUUAUGAAUAAAUUGUAAGAGCGGCCAACCAGGACAGCAUGGCAAUAGUCUAGCCACAAGAUUUUGGCAGAAGUAGGAAAGAGGUAAGGGCACAGAUGCACAAAGUUACGCAGAUGGAAGAAAAUAUCAGUGAAGAGUGGACAUGAUGGAGGAAGCUCAGCACUAAAGAAUAUGCCAAGCUGCAAGUCAAGGUGGUGCCACUUCAGUGCAGAGGUGAAACAUUAAAGGUAGACACAAUAUCAGGCCAAAUAAACAAAUA